UGGAAUACGAGUGUGCAAAUAUCUGUCCAAGUCCUUGCUUUCGAUUCUUUUGGGUGUAUAUCCAAAAGUGGACUUGCUGGAGCUUAUGGGAGUUCUACCAGUCACAGAAA